rnacentral:rRNA from 1 species
ACGCCGCGUGAGUGAUGAAGGUUUUCGGAUCGUAAAACUCUGUUGUUAGGGAAGAACAAGUAACCGUUCGAAUAGGGCGGUACCUUGACGGUACCUAACCAGAAAGCCACGGCUAACUACGUGCCAGCAGCCGCGGUAAUACGUAGGUGGGCAAGCGUUGUCCGGAAUUAUUGGGCGUAAAGGGCUCGCAGGCGGUUUCUUAAGUCUGAUGUGAAAGCCCCCGGCUCAACCGGGGAGGGGUCAUUGGAAACUGGGGAACUUGAGUGCAGAAGAGGAGAGUGGAAUUCCACGUGUAGCGGUGAAAUGCGUAGAGAUGUGGAGGAAACACCAGUGGCGAAGGCGACUCUCUGGUCUGUAACUGACGCUGAGGAGCGAAAGCGUGGGGAGCGAACAGGAUUAGAUACCCUGGUAAGUCCACGCCGUAAACGAUGAGUGCUAAGUGUUAGGGGGUUUCCGCCCCUUAGUGCUGCAGCUAACGCAUUAAGCACUCCGCCUGGGGGAG